GUCUAUGGCCCUAGCACCCUGAACACACCCUAUCUCGUCUGGUCUUGGAAGCUAAGUAGGGUUGGGCCUUGUUAGUACUUGGAUGGAAAAUGGAUCUUCAAAAGACACUGCUCAGAGACAAGCAGUUGGAAGACA
ensembl:rRNA 5S_rRNA 5S ribosomal RNA